rnacentral:rRNA from 1 species
AUUGAACGCUGGCGGCAGGCCGAACACAUGCAAGUCGAACGAGUGGCGGACGGGUGAGGAAUGUCGGGGAAACUGGCGGAUGGAGGGGGAUAACUACUGGAAACGGGAGCGAAUACCAGAUACCAUCGGAUGUGCCCAGAUGGGAUUAGCUAGUAGGUGGGGUAAAGGCUCACCUAGGCGUCGAUCCCUAGCUGGUCUGAGAGGAUGACCAGCCACACUGGAACUGAGAGACGGUACAGACUGCUGCGGGAGGCAGCAGUGGAGAAGAUUGCAGAAUGGGCGCAAGCCCGAGCCAGCCGAGCGGCGUGUAUGACGCAGGCGUUCGGGUUGUAAGGUCCUUUCAGCGGGGAGGCGUUACCCGCAGGAGAGGCGCCGACUAGCUCCGUGCCAGCAGCCGCGGUAAUAC